rnacentral:rRNA from 1 species
GUGUCAGCCGCCGCGGUAAUACGGAGGGAGCUAGCGUUGUUCGGAAUUACUGGGCGUAAAGCGCGCGUAGGCGGCCUAUCAAGUCAGAGGUGAAAGCCCGGGGCUCAACCCCGGAACUGCCUUUGAAACUAGCAGGCUAGAAUCUUGGAGAGGCGAGUGGAAUUCCGAGUGUAGAGGUGAAAUUCGUAGAUAUUCGGAAGAACACCAGUGGCGAAGGCGACUCGCUGGACAAGUAUUGACGCUGAGGUGCGAAAGCGUGGGGAGCAAACAGGAUUAGAAACCCUCGUAGUCC